GCCAGUUGUAUUUAAUUCCCUUGUCUGCAAUUGGCCCAUAUCAUUUGAACAUGUUUCACUGGCAUGUACAAUAUCCAAAUGUGAAAAGUCAUCAUCUCCUGGCCACUGUUCAUUGUUAUGCAAAGAAUUUGGCAUGCUUUGGUUCCUAAUUGCGUUAGAUGCAACACUCUUAUCACAUGAAAUUCUGUCCAAGAAACAAUUCUUCUGGGUCAGAAAAUUCACUUUUGACUCGACUUCAGAUUCCAUCCUGUCCCUAUCUUUGGGUUCAAUAUCAAUCAGAUUACAUGAACCACAAUGAGAAUCGUCACUAGCAUAGUGAAAUGGCAUACUCUUCCCUUCACCGUGGAUGUAAAAUUCUUCACUUUCAUCUUCUUCAAUCAAAGCACAAAGAACUCUCUGGUAUAGUGGAGCACCCUUUUCCAAUCUUCCUGUGCCAAUCUCUCCACAUAAGGAAGCUUUCUUGACUGAUUCUUGGUUAGAGUCAUUACCUUGUCUUUCACCGGAAUAAUCAGACAUUCCUUUAUGCACAACAACACCCAAAAUAUUAUAUUCACCACCAAGCAUCUGAGACAAACUCUCAUCAAGCUCCUCUGCAAAACUUAGC
rnacentral:misc_RNA from 1 species